CCGAGCGAUCCUGGGGCCUGCCGGCAGCAGCUCUGAGUGCUGCUGGAUUAAAUAAUCCCACCCGGGAGGAAGGCGGGUUUAGCGCUCCCGGGUCAUAAACUUUCCCGGGAGGAGCCCUGCAGUUCGAAGGGAAAGCUCAGCUGUCCCCUGAGGUCCCUUUGCCAGUGGGGGCUCCCUCCCUGGGGAGGAGGAAGAGGGGGGAGAUGGAGCCGAGCAAAGAAGGGGGACAAGGACCUGCAGGGUGGACGUGGGGCUGCCCCGGGAGAGCUGCCUCUGCGAUUCCUUGGAUCUGUGCCUCCCUGUGCCUCUGCAGGAUGUCGGCUUGACUAGCAAUGAGAGGCGUUAAAUGGUGCCCUUCAUCCCCCGCCGCGGCUCCCCCUCGCCCUCACCCGCCUUGUUUUGCAGAGCAGGAGCUGCCGCCUGGAACGCGCCGCAGCAGCUGCAUCCUGUCGUUCCAGGGGCGCAGGAUGCAGGCUGGGCCGCCCCCGGCACCUGGGUGCCCUCCGGAUGGGCCGGAUUCCGUGCCCGGGGCUGCAGCAAGAUCCCACGGCUUCUCCCUGGGCAGCGCUGCUGGGUGCUCAGCCCUUUCCCCAGGGCACAGGGUGCCUUGUGCCCCUUCCCUGGCUGCAGGGUGCUGCUCCAGGCUCCUUUCCUGGCUGAAGGGUGCUGCUCCCGGACCUUUUCUUGCAUGGAGGGUUCUUCAGACCCCUUCUUCCAGGCUCCUGGAUCUUGCUCCGUAUCAUGCGAUGAAGGAAUUUCAGCAGAUCUGGAGCUGCACUGGCACAAGCAGGUCCUGAACCCUGUGUCCCUGGUCAGCCCUGGGGUGAUACCCUGGAGUGGGGGGGUGUGUCCUGGUGUUCCUUGUGCUGUCCCCAAGGCUUCCUCUGGACUGUGGGCGAGCACAACAGGGCCCAUCCCACUGCCUCUGCCCAGGGCAGGGGCUGUGGAAGCACAUUUCAGCUCCAAGAGGCUGGAAAAAUGUGUGAGGAGGGAUUUAGUGCCUGCCUGGGACCAUUGCAGUUAUCUGAACCAGGAGCAGGGGGAGAAGGGAAGCUUUUAGGUUGCUAAUCAUGAAAUUUUAUGGCAGCCUGGAGAGGCUGUUGCCAAACCACAACACACCCAGGCACGCACACACACAAAUCAGCUGCAGGACGCCCCGACUUCCCCUCAUGUGAGCAGAGCUGCUGGAGAGCCAGGGGGUCAGAGCGAGCCCUCUCGGUGCUGCCUUACACCCUGGCCUCUCCUUGGGAGCCAAAAAGCUUUUACAGCCUCUCAGACCUUGCCUGUAAUGUCCAAGGCCACUCAUAAAACACGACGAGGCACAGCGUUACUGGAGGACGCUUCAAAGGAACCUGGAGGGCAAGAAGACAGGCAGAGCCCCAGCAAAACUCUUCUCUGCAAAUCACCCGGAGCCCUGGAUGGAUUUCCAGGCAGCCUGAGAGGUUGUUAAUUCACGCCCUGAUGAUGAACUUAAUUUUGUCUCCUGC
rnacentral:lncRNA from 1 species